CAGAGGGUGGGGUGCCUCGUCCCCACCCACCUGCCCAUGCAAGUACUAAUGCGCCAUGGCCGCUCUCCUGGGGCGCUCCUCGGCCUCACUGUGACCUUUCUGCCAGAGCUCCCAGCCAGGCCUCCUCUGCUGAGGUGGCGCUUCCUAAGGACCCUUCUCGCCCUCUCUGCCCUCCUUCCCACCCAUGUGCUGAGCCGCCACAAAGACCAAAGAAGUGAUGGCUUUUCUCUGUCCCCUGCUGCUCUGGGGGGAGGGGGUGGGAAAGUCCUUAGCUCAGCCAUCCCUUCUCAGCAGCCCCAAGCUUUACACUGGACACAGCGCCCACUCCACCACCAAGCCUCCCUCUCCCUCUAGCCCCUCUAGCCCCUCCCUCUAGCCGGUGCCUGCUCUGGAGCUGGGAGUUGGUUCAUGCCAGCCUCCCCCAGCCCUGUGUGCUUCCUCUGGGCUGCAGCCCUCCAGCUGCAGCCUCUGGGGAGAAGCAGCCUCCCUUCUCUCCCUCCCUCCAUACCUCCCUCCUUCCCUUCCUCUCUCCCUCCCUCGCCCCUGUCUCCGCCAGGUGCCUCCUCUCAGUCAAGCUUCUGAGCAGCCCUGGAGACAGGAGGGCCAUGUUAAAAGCUUUUUCACAGUUUUAAGAAGACUAGGGGGGUGAGGCUAGUAGUGGGGGGUCUGGCACCAUCUCAUUGCUUUAAUCUCAGCGACACAGGUGGCAGCUUCUCCCCCUUCCUGCCCACCCCAGGUCCUCUUCCCACCCCUCUCUUCUAGCUUGGUAAUGAAGUGUAUUUAUUGGUGAAGGAAACAGCUGCUGCUGCGGCUCCUGCUGCUGGGACUUGCUCCCCUGCUCUUCCUCAUGACCUUUCUCAAGCCAGGGAGGGGAGCGGGAGUGUUGGGCUAGACCCUGGGGCUCGAGAACUGGCCAGGGUCCCUUUGCUUUCCUAUGUUGAAGCCACCUGCCAUUCCCCCGUCCCUGCCUCCUGUCUCCCACCCGCCUGCCUAGCCUGGACCCUGCAGUGUGGAGAGACACAUAAGCCUUACUGUCCUCUGGGGGCAGGAGCCGAGCCUUUUUGUUGCUCUGCUCCCAGGAGAGUGAGGGUGACGCAAUUGAUUAAAACCAUUUUGUUCUACUUGU
rnacentral:lncRNA from 1 species